rnacentral:rRNA from 1 species
AUUGAACGCUGGCGGCAGGCCUAACACAUGCAAGUCGAGCGGUAGCAGGCCUUCGGGCGCUGACGAGCGGCGGACGGGUGAGGAACACGUAGGAAUUUGCCUGGUAGUGGGGGAUAGCCCAGAGAAAUUUGGAGUAAUACCGCAUAUGCCCUGAGGGGGAAAGUGGGGGACCGCAAGGCCUCACGCUAUCAGAGAAGCCUGCGUCGGAUUAGCUAGUUGGUAGGGUAAAGGCCUACCAAGGCGACGAUCCGUAGCUGGUCUGAGAGGAUGAUCAGCCACACUGGGACUGAGACACGGCCCAGACUCCUACGGGAGGCAGCAGUGGGGAAUAUUGGACAAUGGGCGAAAGCCUGAUCCAGCCAUGCCGCGUGUGUGAAGAAGGCCUCGGUU